rnacentral:rRNA from 1 species
GUAGGUGGCAAGCGUUGUCCGGGAAUUAUUGGGGCGUAAAGCGCGCGCAGGCAGUUCUUUAAGUCUGAUGUGAAAGCCCACGGGCUCAACCGUGGAGGGUCAUUGGAAACUGGAGAACUUGAGUACAGAAGAGGAAAGCGGAAUUCCACGUGUAGCGGUGAAAUGCGUAGAGAUGUGGAGGAACACCAGUGGCGAAGGCGGCUUUCUGGUCUGUAACUGACGCUGAGGCGCGAAAGCGUGGGGAGCAAACAGGAUUAGAUACCCUGGUAGUCCACGCCGUAAACGAUGAGUGCUAAGUGUUAGGGGGUUUCCGCCCCUUAGUGCUGCAGCUAACGCAUUAAGCACUCCGCCUGGGGAGUACGGCCGCAAAGGCUGA